rnacentral:rRNA from 1 species
UACGAAGGGGGCUAGCGUUGUUCGGAAUUACUGGGCGUAAAGCGCACGUAGGCGGAUCGAUCAGUCAGGGGUGAAAUCCCACGGCUCAACCGUGGAAGUGCACUCGAAACUGCAGGGCUAGAGUCCUGGAGAGGAAGGUGGAAUGCUUGGUGUAGAGGUGAAAUUCGUAGAUAUCAAGCGGAACACCGGUGGCGAAGGCGGCCUUCUGGACAGUGACUGACGCUGAGACGGCGAAAGCGUGGGGAGCAAACA